UAGAGGUUGGCAUGUAAAAAGAAGCAAGUCAGUGAGGACAAUGGAUAAUCACCAAAAGAGGAAUCUUACUUUUCUCACCAUUGGACUGAUAUUCAUGCUGAGUGGCAUAGAGUACGCUGUCAUUCUUCCUACAAUAUGGAGGUAUCUACAGAUUUUGGAGGCCCCACCUUACUUCCUGGGUCUCGGUCUGUCUGCCUUCAGCUUGAGUGCACUGGUCACGGGCCCGCUAUUUGGCAUCUGGUCAGAUCGAAGCAAAACUACAAAGUCCAUUGUCCUUUUCUCAAAUGUUUUCGAAAUUGUUGGUAACUUUAUGUAUUUCAUUGGAUACUCAAAGUGGCUUUUGUUAUGCAGUCGGAUUGUAGCAGGUGUCGGAGCAGGAGCUGGGUCCUCCAUCUUUGGCUUUUUGACUCGGAGCACUCAGCCGGAGGAGCGAGCUGGAAUAUUUGCCGCCAUCAUGGCUGGUCGACAAGCCGGUCUUCUUGUUGGGCCGGCGUUCAACCUGUUCCUGCGGCUGUGUGAUUUCAAACUGGGGCCCUUUGUUGUGAACAAGUAUACGUCUCCUGGGAUCUUCAUGUGCCUGUUGUGGGUGCUGCUCCAGUUUGUCGUCCUGGCUAUGUACUGGGAUGUACCACCCGUUAGCUGCGAGGGGGGAGCCACGAUGAUGGAGAUGAAACAGGAGGAGGUAGAGGAAGAGGUGCCGCUGAUGGGGUCUGACGAGGAGCCGGUGCACACCUACAGAGCCCUCAACUCCGACCAACUGGAGACCUCCACCUCGUCUGACAUGCAACCCGUCCACAGAGCUUCGGACCCCUUCCGAAACUUCAGCGCCAGCAGAGAGUUCCUGAGAGAAGAGGUAGUUGUUGUCCUCACGGCUCAGUUCAUCACUCUCUUCAAUCAGACGGCGCUGGAGACCAUGGUGACCCCUCUUACGCAGCGCCACUUCAACUUUGGCGAGCUGGGCAACAGCCUCAUGUACAGCCUGUGCGGGGUGGAGGUCAUCCUGGGCUUCUUCUUUGUACGCUGGCUGAGCAGGAAGGUGGCGGACCGCGCCGUGCUGGCAGCGGGCCUGGUCAUCUGCUGCACCGCCUGUAUCUGGUGCCUCAUCUUCCUCUGCAACCCCCGAGGUGGUUAUGGAUGGGAGCUGUCGGCCUUCAUCAUCGGAGUGUUUCUGCAGCUGCUGGGGCUUCCCUUUGUGGCCGUGUCUCAGGUGUCUCUCUUCUCCAAAGUCACUGCUGAGAAAACACAAGGAUUCAGCCAAGGUGUCAGACGCUCAGUUGGGGGCCUGGCCACAAUCUUGGGUCCCUUGUGGGCUGGAGGAUUGACUAAUAAUUUGUACAUAAUGUUGGGCAUGAUGCUGGCACUACUCCUUAUGAUCACAGUUAUGACAGCGCUGUCCUACGACCGCCUGACUGAGCCGCGAGCGGUCCAGAGUGCACAGAGCUCUGACAGCGGAGGAUAGAGCUGCAGUCCUUGUGAAGAGCAGGAGAGGCUAAAGACGGACAGAGGGAGCGCCCUUCACCUCUGAGAGAAUCAAUACAGGUUUACUGCAGAGGGAAUUGUAUGAAUGUGGAAUAAAAAAUGUUCAAAACACAUGCUGGACCUCAGAAGCUGCUGUAAAGAGAGAGACGGAGAACAGAUGACACAAUGAGUCCAGAAGUGGAGUUGUCAACAUCUGAGAAGCUCCAUGUCAGUGCUGCUGAUAGAAGAAGGUCAGACAGAGUGAAGAUUUUCAGAUUUGUUGUUUUGUUCCCUUCUAAUGCUGGAAUAAACUAGGUACUUGAAUGUAACACAAACAAAAAUGCAAAGCUUUGAAUGAAAGUAAACCAAGCUUGUUUUGAUCUGAUCCUCUACGCCAGCUUGGCAUUCGAGGAGCUCUGAAUUAAAACCAAAUUUAA